GCAGUGGCAAGGAGCACUUUUUAUCAGUUUCAGCAGAUAUACCAGAUACAUCAAUUUCUGAAGGACACUCAUAACCAUCUGAAUUAAACAAACAUUUGCCUGGGGUCAUUAAGAGACUGGAUGAGGGAUAAAACUGAAAUCCAGUUUAGAUGAGAAAGAGGCAUUGUUGGUAGGUGGGCCAUCUGAUCAUGUCUGGACUGAGUUCUUGACUGUACUCCCUCUUAAGGAUCAGGCUGCCUUUCUGGAGUGCAAAAUGUGGAUGAUCAGCUCCUUUUGGAUUCAGCAAGCUGAACCAACUUCUGUCCCCUUUCUUAACACAAAGCUGCCAGUUACCAUUGGUUCCUUUAUUGCAUCUAGGAUACUCUUCCAAACAUCUGUAUCAAUUCUAAGGGAAAAUAUCUUCUCAUUCACUCACAGAGAUGCAG